GACGAACGCUGGCGGCGUGCCUAAUACAUGCAAGUCGAACGAAACUUUCUUACACCGAAUGCUUGCAUUCACCGUAAGAAGUUGAGUGGCGGACGGGUGAGUAACACGUGGGUAACCUGCCUAAAAGAAGGGGAUAACACUUGGAAACAGGUGCUAAUACCGUACAUCUCUAAGGAUCGCAUGAUCCUUAGAUGAAAGAUGGUUCUGCUAUCGCUUUUAGGUGGACCCGCGGCGUAUUAACCAGUUGGUGGGGUAACGGCCUACCAAGGUGAUGAUACUUAGCCGAACUGAGAGGUUGAUCGGCCACAUUGGGACUGAGACACGGCCCAAACUCCUACGGGAGGCAGCAGUAGGGAAUCUUCCACAAUGGACGCAAGUCUGAUGGAGCAACGCCGCGUGAGUGAAGAAGGUCUUCGGAUCGUAAAGCUCUGUUGUUAGAGAAGAACACGAGUGAGAGUAACUGUUCAUUCGAUGACGGUAUCUAACCAGCAAGUCACGGCUAACUACGUGCCAGCCGCCGCGGUAA
rnacentral:rRNA from 1 species